GACGAACGCUGGCGGCGUGCUUAACACAUGCAAGUCGAACGGAAAGGCCCUGCUUGCAGGGUCCUCGAGUGGCGAACGGGUGAGUAACACGUGGGUGAUCUGCCCUGCACUUCGGGAUAAGCCUGGGAAACUGGGUCUAAUACCGGAUAGGAACCAUUUUUAGUGUGAUGGUUGGAAAGUUUUUUCGGUGUAGGAUGAGCUCGCGGCCUAUCAGCUUGUUGGUGGGGUAAUGGCCUACCAAGGCGGCGACGGGUAGCCGGCCUGAGAGGGUGGACGGCCACAUUGGGACUGAGAUACGGCCCAGACUCCUACGGGAGGCAGCAGGGGGGAAUAUUGCACAAUGGGCGCAAGCCUGAUGCAGCGACGCCGCGUGGGGGAUGACGGCCUUCGGGUUGUAAACUCCUUUCGCUAGGGACGAAGCUUUUUGUGACGGUACCUAGAUAAGAAGCACCGGCUAACUACGUG
rnacentral:rRNA from 1 species